AGAAAAUUACAGGAUCACCUUUAGCUGGAUCAGCAAGUCAUUAUCUAAGUUUUUGUUCUAGUAAAGCAAGAAUUCGAAAGUUAACUUUCUUGACCAUAGAGAUGUCUUUAUGAAAACCUGACAGCCAUUUCUUUUGAGUAUGUUUUGGUUCCUAAGUGUCAUUGUUUGUAUUUGAUGAUGAGGUCAGUGACAGUUCAUAGUUUCAAAGGCGUUGCUGCUAAGAAGUAUAGAUUCCAGUCAAAAUUACGUGGGCAUAAGAGAAACACACUUUUGGUUUUGUUGUUUCUUUUUUCCCCCCAACUAAUAUCUUGGUGCUCUUUAGACAUAGUGUAGGGGCUGGAGAUAUGGCUCAUUGUUUAAGAACACUCGCAACUAUCGCUGAGGACAACAGACCUGAGUUCUGUUCCUGACACCUACAUGAAUCAGCUCACACACACCUGGAACUCCAGCUCCAGGGAAUCUGAUGCUUCUAUGUCUACUGCACUCAUACACAUAAUAAACCCACGCACAGAAACAGGCACAGAUAAAAAUCAAAACAGGACAAAAAAUCCAAAUCUAAAUAAAUUAAAAUAAAGGAAUCUUUUUUUUUUCACCACUGUAAAUUUGGGCAGAAUAGUUUGCUUUUGUUAGCUUCCAUGUUUGUGUUUUAUUUUGUUUGAGACAGAAUCUUUGUAGCUUAGGUACCAUCAGUUUUAACAUUCUCUCUUCCUUCUGUCUCACCAGUGCUGAGGUUACAGGGUUAAGUCAUCCAGGAUGGAAUUGCUUUUAAGUUAAUCAGUGUAAACAACAGCCAGGAGCAUGACACUGUGUCUUCCACAACCACGAAGCUGGAAUCAGGGGGCAACACAAAUCAUUUGGAAGGGGCGGGGCGGGGCUGCCUUCAAGAAGAGACAUCGUAAAACAAAACAAAGCCCAAACCCAAGUUAUAAGGUAAAAACAUGUUUUGUUUCUGGGUUUUUGUUUUUUGGGUUUUUUGUUUGUUUGUUUGUUUUUGAGACAGGGUUUCUCUGUGUACUCCUGACUGUCCUAGAACUCGUCCUGUAGACUAGGCUAGCCUCGAACUCACAGAGAGGCAUCUAUCUCUGCCUCUGUUGGGAUGCAAGCGUGCACCGCCACUGCCUGGCUGUGAAAAACCAUGUGUAUUUAGCCUGUAAUACAGUCUAGUAAUCCAAUGCUUAAAAAAAAUUUAUUAUUCCUGGCCGCUACUCAUACACCUUCAUCUGAUAAGAAGAAAAAGGAAAGAAAUCAAAAGUGAGAAGGAGAAAGGAGAAAACCAAGGGCGUGGGAGACCAGGAAAGUGAAAGCAGACAAAUGCCCUGACCUUGACCCUCACGUGUUACUUCCCUUGUGCCGUAGGGGCCACUCCGCCCUCCUUCCAUCCUUCCUCUAACACUAAGAGCAAGAGCGGCAGCUGGCCCAUUUGAGAAGCCGCUCACUGGCUAAGCAUUUAUUCCGAAUCUUACUCACGCUUGCUCGCACGCCUGGCUAGUCUCAAGUGUUCGUCACUUGCAAGACCACGCCUCCGUUUUCCGCAGUUACUUCUGGGACAAAGACAGCCAGAAUGGAUUAUCAGCAGAAAUCCCAAAUGCCCUGGAGCAAUGCCCUGGAGCUUACUCCUGUCCCUGUUACAAACUGAGGCAGAACGGAGAGCACACAGCUGUGGACCCUGCGGGAAAAGAAAAGCCACCAUUUCUGAAAAGUGCCAGGGUCGAAGAUCUGAAGCCUAAUUCCUACACUUUUCAGAUACAAGUAAAAAUAAAAUAUUUACGUUUUCUCUUCUACAUAUUCUAAGUAAAAGAAUAAUAAAAAAUGAUAACUAACCAGGCCGCGGUGGCACACACCUUUAAUCCCAGCACCGGGGAGCAGAGGCAGGCGGAUCUCUGUGAGUUCAAGGCCAGCCUGGUUUACAAGAGCAGUUCCAGGACAGGCUCCAAAGCUACAGAGAAAUGAUGUCUUGAAAAAAAAAACAAACAAACAGAAACAGCAAAAUGAUAAAUAAACCAAACAGCCAGACUUUCUUUUUCACUGUUUAUUUGCCGUAUUUUGUAUGAUCGCGAACAUUGCUGAGUGCUUAUGAGUCCUGUGACGUGUUUAUGUCCUCUUUAAAUUCCUUGAAUUCUCUGAUAAAAAUUGUGAUAACUUAAAAAAUCCCCGUAUCCUGUGUUCUUCUGGGCAGCUCUCAUCUGAGAACACUUCUAUGGAACUAUGGGUUAAGGGAAGACUUCCUGUCCUGGGCAUCUGUGUUGUUUUCGGUUUUAUGAUUUGGCUUGUGGAUUUUCUUCAGCUGUGUUUGAUAUGAUCCUGGCUUUCCUCUGCUCGGCCCACGCAGGAACUGCUGGGCGGCUGAAUGCAGGGCUGGAGAAAUGGCUCCAGGGUUAAGAAGACCGGCUACUCUUGAAGAGGAUCAGGGAGAGAUUCCCAGCACCCACAUGGCUUCUCACAACUGUCUGCAACUCCAGUUCCAGGACAUCUGAUUCUGUCUUCUAACGGCCAUAGGUUCA